UUCAAUCAAAUUUGCAUAAAAACAGAGCAUGUAGAAAUCAACAAGUUAGAAUCCACAAACCCAUAAAUUCAAACUGUUAAAAUAUGAUUGAAUAAAAAAAAAAGAAUUUGAAAAAAUUGAGCAUACUGAGUGGUUGGUGCUGAUGUCGGAAAUGGUGGUGGAAGCCAUGAAUGUCCACGUAUGAAUGGAGAGAACCACAAAAAGAUAGAGGAGAGAAAGAGAGGAAAAAUGGUGGUGAUCAGAGAAGGGAGAAAAGAGAGAAAAUAACGCCGGAAAAUUAAGGUCGGUGUUUGAGUUGAGUUGUGGAGGGAGGAGAAAAUACAAGUUUUUGAAGCUGAGAUACUUGCAUUCCAUCUCAUGGGGGUACGCUCAUCAUUUUGCAACUAAUAGUAUGGGUAAAUAAUAAGACAUUUUACUCGUUUAGGUUUUACGCCAAAUCAAAUAUCAGCGUUAACAAGACCGUUAGUUGUUGUUAACUGGAGGAAUUUGGCGUUAGUUUGCAAACGGACCCCCGUUUCAUCCUUUUUUUUUUUCGACGGACCCCCGUUUUAUCCUUUCCUUUCAGAAGAAAAAUUCAUAAGGGACGAGUCAAUUGAGGGAAAUUGAACCCUAAUUCAUAAGGGACGACUGAAUUGGGAGAAAUUGAACCCUAACUUUCGGCUGGGACGACUGAAUUUGGGGAAAUUGUAAAGCGAAGACUGAAUUGGGGAGAACGGUCUGCUGGGGCCGCUACGAAAGGGAGAAAGCUAUGGUUGUUUGCGACUACGAAAGGAAGGUCUGGUCUGGUCUGGUCUGGUCUGGUCAUUGCUACUGUCUGUUGCUUGUUGUUGUACUCGCCACAGUACUACUCGUCGACCUUCUGUGUAUAAGAGUCAACAUGUCAGUCUGACUAGAGAGCAGGCGAGAUGUUCCGAUUGGAGAGUCCUCAGGGAGACGAUCAAGCAGGACAACAGAGAAGUUCUUAUACAAGGAGAGGAACAAGGCCUCAUUUUCACUGAGGGCACGAAAGAGAAGUGCUUCUUUUGCUUCCAAGGAGUCACGUAAAGACACCUCUUCCUCUUCUGCCUUCUCAGAAGAAGAAAUUAAAUAUUGUAUAUUGCCAUUGAGCAUGAUUAAACCUAUCAAAUGACCAAACUUAACGUUUGUUUAACGUCAUGAUUAUUGUAGCAAUUAAGGUAAAAUUAUAGGGGUACCGCUAAUAAUGAAAGUUUAAUGAAGGAUAUCAUUGAUAAAAGUCAAAA